AGCAGCAUGGCGCAGUUGGAAGCGCGCGGGGCCCAUAUACACCAAUCGAGGAAAAUUGAUGUUGUCUACCCCGAGGUCACUUGAUCGAAACAAGUUGCUGCUA